CCUACGGGAGGCAGCAGUGAGGAAUUUUCCGCAAUGGGCGAAAGCCUGACGGAGCAAUACCGCGUGAGGGAUGAAGGAUUUUGGUCUGUAAACCUCUUUUCUCAAGAAAGAAGUUCUGACGGUACUUGAGGAAUAAGCAUCGGCUAACUCCGUGCCAGCAGCCGCGGUAAUACGGGGGAUGCAAGCGUUAUCCGGAAUGAUUGGGCGUAAAGCGCCUGUAGGUUGUUUAUUAAGUCCGUUGUUAAAGCCUAGGGCUCAACCCUAGAAAAGCAAUGGAAACUAGUAGACUAGAGUAUGGCAGGGGUAGAGGGAAUUUCUAGUGUAGCGGUGAAAUGCGUAGAUAUUAGAAAGAACACCGGUGGCGAAAGCGCUCUACUGGACCAUUACUGACACUCAGAGGCGAAAGCUAGGGUAGCAAAAGGGAUUAGAUACCCCUGUAGUCCUAGCCGUAAACGAUGGAUACUAGAUGUUGUGCAUUAUGUACAGUAUCGUAGCUAACGCGUUAAGUAUCCCGCCUGGGGAGUACGCUCGCAAGGGUGAAACUCAAAUGAAAUUGACGG
rnacentral:rRNA from 1 species